UACGUAGGGUGCAAGCGUUUGUCCGGAAUUAUUGGGCGUAAAGAACUCGUAGGCGGUCUGUCGCGUCUGCUGUGAAAACUCGGGGCUUAACCCCGGGCCUGCAGUGGGUACGGGCAGACUAGAGUGCGGUAGGGGAGACUGGAAUUCCUGGUGUAGCGGUGAAAUGCGCAGAUAUCAGGAGGAACACCGGUGGCGAAGGCGGGUCUCUGGGCCGGUAACUGACGCUGGAGGAAGCAAAAGCGUGGGGAGCGAACAGG
rnacentral:rRNA from 1 species